rnacentral:pre_miRNA from 1 species
UCUUUGUGCUUUCAGCUUCUUUACAGUGCUGCCUUGUAGCAUUUGGGUCAAGCAGCAUUGUACAGGGCUAUGAAAGAACCAAGAA